rnacentral:rRNA from 1 species
AACCCGGGGAACUGAAACAUCUCAGUACCCGGAGGAAAGGACAUCAACCGAGACUCCGCUAGUAGUGGCGAGCGAACGCGGACCAGGCCAGUGGUCAUGUCGAGAGAACCGGAACCGUCUGGAAAGUCGGGCCUUAGUGGGUGAUAGCCCCGUACGGGUGUUGUGAGAUUGAGGACUUGAGUAGGGCGGGACACGUGAAAUCCUGUCUGAACAUGGGGGGACCAUCCUCCAAGCCUAAGUACUCCUUAUCGACCGAUAGUGAACAAGUACCGUGAGGGAAAGGUGAAAAGUACCCUGAA